rnacentral:rRNA from 1 species
UUAGAGUUUGAUCCUGGCUCAGGAUGAACGCUAGCGAUAGGCUUAACACAUGCAAGUCGAGGGGCAGCAUGGUCUUAGCUUGCUAAGACUGAUGGCGACCGGCGCACGGGUGCGUAACGCGUAUGCAACUUGCCUCACAGAGGGGGAUAACCCGUCGAAAGACGGACUAAUACCGCGUACACUCCAGCUUGGGCAUCCAGGCAGGAGGAAAUGAAUUUCGCUGUGAGAUAGGCAUGCGUCCCAUUAGCUAGUUGGUGAGGUAACGGCUCACCAAGGCGACGAUGGGUAGGGGAACUGAGAGGUUGAACCCCCACACUGGUACUGAGACACGGACCAGACUCCUACGGGAGGCAGCAG